UACGGAGGGUGCAAGCGUUAUUCGGAAUCAUUGGGCGUAAAGGGCGCGUAGGCGGUUUUUUAAGUCAGAUGUGAAAGCCCGGGGCUUAACCCCGGAAGUGCAUUUGAAACUGAAAGACUUGAGUAUGGGAGAGGGAAGUGGAAUUCCUGGUGUAGAGGUGAAAUUCGUAGAGAUCAGGAGGAACACCGGUGGCGAAGGCGACUUCCUGGACCAAUACUGACGCUGAGGCGCGAAGGAGUGGGUAGCAAACAGG
rnacentral:rRNA from 1 species